ACGGAGGGAGCUAGCGUUGUUCGGAAUUACUGGGCGUAAAGCGCACGUAGGCGGCUAUUCAAGUCGGGGGUGAAAGCCCGGGGCUCAACCCCGGAACUGCCCUCGAAACUAGGUAGCUAGAAUCUUGGAGAGGUCAGUGGAAUUCCGAGUGUAGAGGUGAAAUUCGUAGAUAUUCGGAAGAACACCAGUGGCGAAGGCGACUGACUGGACAAGUAUUGACGCUGAGGUGCGAAAGCGUGGGGAGCAAACAGGA
rnacentral:rRNA from 1 species